UACGGAGGGUGCGAGCGUUGUCCGGAAUCACUGGGCGUAAAGGGCGCGUAGGCGGCCCGGUAAGUAGGGGGGUGAAAUCCUGAGGCUCAACCUCAGGGCUGCCUUCUAAACUGCCAGGCUCGAGCACAGUAGAGGCAGGUGGAAUUCCCGGUGUAGCGGUGGAAUGCGUAGAGAUCGGGAAGAACAUCGGUGGCGAAGGCGGCCUGCUGGGCUGUUGCUGGACGCUGAGGCGCGCAGCGUGGGGGAGCAAACAGG
rnacentral:rRNA from 1 species